rnacentral:lncRNA from 1 species
UUUUCCAUGGUCGUGGAAAUGAGGACACUGGAAUCAAACAUACCUCCAUUCAGCUCAUAUGUUCACGUGAAUACUGCCGCGCUAAGGAGAAACGCCUUAUGAGCCUUCAGACGUUGUCAAGUUUCCUUAGAUAAAAACCGAAUUAUUUGGGAAAAUUGCGAAUAUUAUUUUUCAAAAUUUUCAGACAAUUUUGUACGCAAUUUAAUCUAAAAUAUCUGAAAAUUUGAAGGAAAAAUAUGCCGGGAUGUUGUCAAAAAUAUGUGUUUUAUCAAGGGGAAUUUGGCAAAUCUCGAGUGUUCAUACAGCGUUCUUCCUUAGCACGGCAGAAUAUGUGUAAAUUCUAAAUUUUCAUUUUGUGUUUGAGCAGCUCAAAUAAAAAUCUUCAAUCUUUGGAAAACAGAAUCAAUGUCGAACUAAUUUUUCGAGGCCAGAACGGCACACGACAGUAUAAAACGUUCGCUGUUGUAUUGUGGGAGCAUUAUAGAAUCCGUUUUCGUUAUUGUGAAGCUGUGCAGUGAAAAUGGUUCCAAAAUUCACCACCCUUCUCCUAAUAUGCAUUUGCAGUUCCUUGCUGUUAUGCUACAUCGAAAAUGGAGCAGUUACGGCUCUUGAGGAGGAUGCUGGUCUUCGUGCAGUGAGGAGCACUGGUGAGGGUGGUGGCGUUGGGGGCGGCGUUGGGGGCGAAGCUCGUGGUGGCGCUGGUGGUGGUACUAAUGGCGCUGGUGGUAAAAAGUACUCAAAAAAAAGUAGCUCGGGGCUUGAGUCGGAGCUCGGAUCUGGUGAGAAAGGCGGUAACGGUACUAUGAGCGGGGGUACCUUGAGCGGGGGCACUACUUUAACCGGCGAUGAAAGUGUCACUCCCAAAUCUCUGGGCGAAGGCGCAGGCGGCCUCCCGAGUGGUGAAAACGGCGAAAAGAAUAAGCCAAAAAUAUAAAAAAAAUGAUAGAGGUUGCUAGAUUCCGGUUUGCUUCUUAGUGCCCAAGAGCAAAAAGUUAGAGCCCGCUGCAGAUGAGUUUUACAAUCUCCGAGUCUCAAAGCCCUCCUCGUCGCCGCGAUCAAAAUGGAGGUUUGAAGUGUAUACAUACCGAAAUCUGGCAAAUGACGUCGCAAGAAUUCCAAUGAACUCUUCAUUUUGAUCUCCCAUUUUGAUCGUGGAGACAGAGCUACACUGCCGUGCUAAGGAGAAACACCGCACGAACCUUCAGGCGUUGCCAAAUUUCCUUUGAUAAAAUACGAAUUUCCUGGUAAACUUUAUGAAUAUUUUCCUUCCAAUGUUUCAUAUAAUUUUGUUCACAAUUCCACCUAAAGCCCCUGAAAAUUUCAAGGAUGAAUAUUCAUACCUUUCCUCAUAUAUAAACAUUUUGUAGGAGGAAAUUUGGCAACUCUCGAAUGUUCAUACGGCGUUUUUCCUUAGCACGGCAGUACAGUCGGCUGGUGUACUACCUAUCCGGAGAACAUCAUGUUCAUUUUCGCAUCAAUGACAAAAAGUUCAUGUUAUGAACCCAAAAUACUUAUUUCAUAAACCGAAUCAAUUCAGGAUUGUAAUACACAAUUAAACGCCUCGCGCGGAACGGGGUAAUCGUAAUUCUACUUGCUCUGUUAUUAUUUUUACUAUCCAUUUUGAGACUGAUUUUUUUUCAAACGGGUGGUGAAUCCGGCAACCAUGCAGAUAAUAAAAAGGCACAUUUGCUAAACAGGCUUUUUUGAUUCAAAUUAUCGAGAAAAGUGAGUUUUGAGAGUUUCAGAGAUUUCUAAUAACAGUCGGCCAUUACACUCUUUUUUUUCCUGAUUGGCUGAGUUGGCACCAGGCCCAAGAACUUUUCUACGCUAGGGUACUUGUUUUUAUGAUAUCUAGUGAUCCAUCCAAUCUGUCUCUGGAAUUCUGAUAGUGUUAAACAUCCUACUUGUUGCGUUCAUAAGAAGCAUGAUCACCACACAUCUAACGAUUUUUCUAGGGACCAUGAGUGACCGCGAAUCUAGAGACUUGUUUACAAUUUUUUCUUUUUGCACUCCACAGUAACAAUAAAAUCUAAAUGUGACAGGCGUUAAAUUCUCAUACAUCCUCGAUAGAUAAAAUCUUUAUCUGCAACUAAGCCUGAUUCCAUUUAAAAAAAAAAUCAUUAUUGCACCAUUUAAUAUUAUAAUAAUUCCGUAUUCUGUAUCUACGUAUUGUCAAUAAAAUUUUUCUUUCAAUU